CCUACGGGAGGCUGCAGUGAGGAAUAUUGGUCAAUGGACGCGAGUCUGAACCAGCCAAGUAGCGUGAAGGAUGACUGCCCUACGGGUUGUAAACUUCUUUUAUAUGGGAAUAAAACGUUCCACGUGUGGCAUUUUGUAUGUACCAUAUGAAUAAGGAUCGGCUAACUCCGUGCCAGCAGCCGCGGUAAUACGGAGGAUCCGAGCGUUAUCCGGCUUUAUUGGGUUUAAAGGGAGCGUAGGUGGAUUGUUAAGUCAGUUGUGAAAGUUUGCGGCUCAACCGUAAAAUUGCAGUUGAAACUGGCAGUCUUGAGUACAGCAGAGGUGGGCGGAAUUCGUGGUGUAGCGGUGAAAUGCUUAGAUAUCACGAAGAACUCCGAUUGCGAAGGCAGUUCACUGGACUGCAACUGACACUGAGGCUCGAAAGUGUGGGUAUCAAACAGGAUUAGAUACCCCUGUAGUC
rnacentral:rRNA from 1 species